rnacentral:rRNA from 1 species
CAACCUGCCUUCAGGAUGGGGACAACAGACGGAAACGACUGCUAAUACCGAAUAAGUUCCAAGAGCCGCAUGGCCCAUGGAAGAAAAGGUGGCCUCUACCUGUAAGCUAUCGCCUGAAGAGGGGUUUGCGUCUGAUUAGCUGGUUGGAGGGGUAACGGCCCACCAAGGCGACGAUCAGUAGCCGGUCUGAGAGGAUGAACGGCCACACUGGAACUGAGACACGGUCCAGACUCCUACGGGAGGCAGCAGUGGGGAAUCUUCCGCAAUGGGCGAAAGCCUGACGGAGCAACGCCGCGUGAGUGAUGACGGCCUUCGGGUUGUAAAACUCUGUGAUCCGGGACGAAAAGGCAGAGUGCGAAGAACAAACUGCAUUGACGGUACCGGAAAAGCAAGCCACGGCUAACUACGUGCCAGCAGCCGCGGUAAUACGUAGGUGGCAAGCGUUGUCCGGAAUUAUUGGGCGUAAAGCGCGCGCAGGCGGCUUCCCAAGUCCCUCUUAAAAGUGCGGGGCUUAACCCCGUGAUGGGAAGGAAACUGGGAAGCUGGAGUAUCGGAGAGGAAGGUGGAAUUCCUAGUGUAGCGGUGAAAUGCGUAGAGAUUAGGAAGAACACCGGUGGCGAAGGCGACUUUCUGGACGAAAACUGACGCUGAGGCGCGAAAGCGUGAGGAGCAAACAGGAUUAGAUACCCUGGUAGUCCACGCCGUAAACGAUGGAUAC